CCUGUGACCUCUUGACAUGCCCCCCUAACGAUUCAUUAUGUCAAAUUACGGUAGGUCUUUUUUCGGAGGGCAAUUUACAAAUUGACUGAACUAUAACUUGAAAUGUCAU